rnacentral:rRNA from 1 species
ACGAACGCUGGCGGCGUGCCUAAUACAUGCAAGUCGAACGCUUCUUUUUCCACCGGAGCUUGCUCCACCGGAAAAAGAGGAGUGGCGAACGGGUGAGUAACACGUGGGUAACCUGCCCAUCAGAAGGGGAUAACACUUGGAAACAGGUGCUAAUACCGUAUAACAAUCGAAACCGCAUGGUUUUGAUUUGAAAGGCGCUUUCGGGUGUCGCUGAUGGAUGGACCCGCGGUGCAUUAGCUAGUUGGUGAGGUAACGGCUCACCAAGGCGACGAUGCAUAGCCGACCUGAGAGGGUGAUCGGCCACAUUGGGACUGAGACACGGCCCAAACUCCUACGGGAGGCAGCAGUAGGGAAUCUUCGGCAAUGGACGAAAGUCUGACCGAGCAACGCCGCGUGAGUGAAGAAGGUUUUCGGAUCGUAAAACUCUGUUGUUAGAGAAGAACAAGGAUGAGAGUAACUGUUCAUCCCUUGACGGUAUCUAACCAGAAAGCCACGGCUAACUACGUGCCAGCAGCCGCGGUAAUACGUAGGUGGCAAGCGUUGUCCGGAUUUAUUGGGCGUAAAGCGAGCGCAGGCGGUUUCUUAAGUCUGAUGUGAAAGCCCCCGGCUCAACCGGGGAGGGUCAUUGGAAACUGGGAGACUUGAGUGCAGAAGAGGAGAGUGGAAUUCCAUGUGUAGCGGUGAAAUGCGUAGAUAUAUGGAGGAACACCAGUGGCGAAGGCGGCUCUCUGGUCUGUAACUGACGCUGAGGCUCGAAAGCGUGGGGAGCAAACAGGAUUAGAUACCCUGGUAGUCCACGCCGUAAACGAUGAGUGCUAAGUGUUGGAGGGUUUCCGCCCUUCAGUGCUGCAGCUAACGCAUUAAGCACUCCGCCUGGGGAGUACGACCGCAAGGUUGAAACUCAAAGGAAUUGACGGGGGCCCGCACCAGCGGUGGAGCAUGUGGUUUAAUUCGAAGCAACGCGAAAAACCUUACCAAGUCUUGACAUCCCUUGACGAUACUGGAAACAGUAUUUCUCUUCGGAGCAAGGAGACAGGUGGUGCAUGGUUGUCGUCAGCUCGUGUCGUGAGAUGUUGGGUUAAGUCCCGCAACGAGCGCAACCCUUAUUGUUAGUUGCCAUCAUUUAGUUGGGCACUCUAGCAAGACUGCCGGUGACAAACCGGAGGAAGGUGGGGAUGACGUCAAAUCAUCAUGCCCCUUAUGACCUGGGCUACACACGUGCUACAAUGGGAAGUACAACGAGUCGCAAAGUCGCGAGGCUAAGCUAAUCUCUUAAAGCUUCUCUCAGUUCGGAUUGUAGGCUGCAACUCGCCUACAUGAAGCCGGAAUCGCUAGUAAUCGCGGAUCAGCACGCCGCGGUGAAUACGUUCCCGGGCCUUGUACACACCGCCCGUCACACCACGAGAGUUUGUAACACCCGAAGUCGGUGAGGUAACCUUUUGGAGCCAGCCGCCUAAGGUGGGAUAGAUGAUUGGGGUG